rnacentral:rRNA from 1 species
GUGCCAGCAGCCGCGGUAAUACGGAGGAUGCAAGCGUUAUCCGGAAUGAUUGGGCGUAAAGGGUCCGCAGGUGGCCUUGUAAGUCUGCUGUUAAAGAGUGAGGCUUAACCUCAUAAAAGCAGUGGAAACUACAAAGCUAGAGUGCGUUCGGGGUAGCAGGAAUUCCUGGUGUAGCGGUGAAAUGCGUAGAGAUCAGGAAGAACACCGGUGGCGAAAGCGUGCUACUAGGCCGUAACUGACACUGAGGGACGAAAGCUAGGGGAGCGAAUGGGAUUAGAAACCCGGGUAGUCC